AGCAGCGUGGUGUAGUGGUUUGAGCAUGUUUGACUACAACUCUGGAGACCAUGGCUCAAAUCUCUGCACAGCCA